rnacentral:tRNA from 1 species
AUUUUUAUAGUUGAAUAACAACGCUGGUUUUUCAAGUCAGAGGUCUAAUAAAUUUAGUAAAAAUU